AUUGAACGCUGGCGGAAUGCUUUACACAUGCAAGUCGAACGGUAGAGGGGGCAACCCCUCGAGAGUGGCGAACGGGUGAGUAAUAUAUCGGAACGUGCCCAGUCGUGGGGGAUAACGUAGCGAAAGUUACGCUAAUACCGCAUACGAUCUACGGAUGAAAGCGGGGGACUCGCAAGAGCCUCGCGCGAUUGGAGCGGCCGAUGUCAGAUUAGGUAGUUGGUGAGGUAAAGGCUCACCAAGCCAACGAUCUGUAGCUGGUCUGAGAGGACGACCAGCCACACUGGAACUGAGACACGGUCCAGACUCCUACGGGAGGCAGCAGUGGGGAAUUUUGGACAAUGGACGCAAGUCUGAUCCAGCCAUUCCGCGUGCAGGAUGAAGGCCCUCGGGUUGUAAACUGCUUUUGUACGGAACGAAAAGGUUUCUCUUAAUACGAGGAGCUCAUGACGGUACCGUAAGAAUAAGCACCGGCUAACUACGUG
rnacentral:rRNA from 1 species